rnacentral:rRNA from 1 species
UACGUAGGGGGCAAGCGUUGUCCGGAUUUAUUGGGCGUAAAGAGCGUGUAGGCGGCCUGAAAGUUCAGCUGUGAAAACUCGAGGCUCAACCUCGAGACGUCGGUUGAAACCAUCUGGCUAGAGUCCGGAAGAGGAGAGUGGAAUUCCCGGUGUAGCGGUGAAAUGCGCAGAUAUCGGGAAGAACACCCGUGGCGAAGGCGGCUCUCUGGGACGGUACUGACGCUGAGACGCGAAAGCGUGGGGAGCGAACAGG